AUCGUUUUUCAGCUUUUGGGCUCAGAUGACGUGCAGAUGGCUUCUUAUCCCUCUAUGUCUGAUACGUCCUUUAUCUGAGGACAAUAUAUUCGGUGGACUUUUGGAGCUUGGAGUUGUAAUCGGAACUUUCUCCCAUCCACUCCACGCAUCUUCCUGGUAUUGCAGUACUCUCAGGAAUGGUGCAUGCAUA
rnacentral:snRNA from 1 species